AUUCCUGAUGUUUAAUCAGAAUCUGCUUUCUUGUAACUUGGAGCCAUUGGUUCAGGCCUUACCCUCCAGAGCAAGAGAAAACAAGUUUGCUCCACCUUCCAUAGGACAGCCCUUCAGAUAUUUGAGGAUGGCUAUCAUAUCUCCUAUUGCUGUCCUCUUUUCCAGGCUAAACAUACCUAGCUCCUUCAACCAACAA